ensembl:lncRNA
GCCUUCCUUCCCCAGCAUACUAAUGCCUUGCCCAAUGAAUUUCCCAAGUUGUUAACAAAUGAGGUGCAGUAUAUUUAAUAAUAUUAACAUAUUGUUGCAAGGCUUAUUUAAUAACAGGUAGGAGGGAUGAGUUCUCAUGUCAGAAAAUGGAGGGCCUCAUGCCAUUUGGAGACCUGCUCAUUAUCCGUUCUUACAAUUUAAUGAUAUAUGUGUCUAUUACCGAGGAGAAGUAGAGGAUCUACUCAGGAACUCUGUGAGAUUGAUUGACUGGAAAAACGCAUAAAGGCUUAAACUAUCUUACAUCAUCUGCCAUGCAUACAGGACACUUUCUCUGCUAUGUGAAAAACUCUGAGCAACUGGAGACAGUGAAAAUAUGUAAAUGGGACUGGGCUGAUUUCAAGGAGAUGACAUGUGGGUUCUGAAUGUGUUCGGCAAACCAGGAAAUCACAUCCUUCCCAUUCCAGGAACCAGGACCUCAUGAGCGAACUUCACUCAGCUGUCCCCAGAUGUUCAGAUACCAAGAAGAUGACAAUGAGGAGCCUGGGAGAUGGCAUUCCUUGAACCUCAACAACUCCAACAGUCUCACAAGCAUUCAAAUGGGUUAGAGGAGAGUUUGCUCUUGUAUUUCUUCCUGUAAUAGCACACACAUAUCAGACCAAUGUUUUACACCUCUUCAACACACACAGUGGCUGAAAUGGAUAAUUUGGAAAAGAGAUGGAUGGCAACAAGUGUGAGUGUGGAACACUAAUCCUUAGCUGAUUCCACAAAAGUCGUAUACUAUUUAUUCAAUAGUAAGUGAGAAUGAAGCAAGGGUCUGCCCAUAUGAGAGGGCCGGAAGUGGAAGGACUGUCAUGGAUUUCAUCUGAAUCAGUUUGCAUUCACAUGUCUUUGGUUUAAUUCUUAGGGAGCCCCAAGUGGAGCCAGGAGAUGGGCUCAGUGAUCUUCGGGGACAUUCUGUGAUUCUCCACCUAUUAGGCAUAAAUUGAAAUAGCACUGAGAACCACAGUAAAGUUCAGCAAAUUGCACAGGGAAUUGGUUUUCAUCCAUCAGUUAGGAAAGAAAAGCUUGCAGGCCAAAAGAGAUCAGAAGUCUGUACGUUGUGCUGUGUUGCCAGCAUCAGCCACUGGCAGAUCGCAAUUCAGAAGAUGAAACAGUUUGCAGUGUAAAGACAGGGAGUGUUAACUGAGAAUCUUAAAAUGAAACGUAACUGUGUAGUUAAUAGCCUUAUGACAGGGCAAAGCAGAACAAAAUACGGAACAAGAAAGGACAUCUCCCAUGCUUCUUACUACAGGAAACAAACUUUCACUAUCGAUGACAAUAGCUAUUGUAGAAGAAGAUGGAUGGCAUUGACACAGCAUGUGAUUACUGAGAUAGAUUUUCUUGGUCAAGCCAAAUAUUUUUGAUUGAAGAAGAAAUAAAUAUAUUUUUCACUUCAUGUUAUAGCUGCUGUUGUCUGAAACCCAGUGGGGAAAAACAAUUGUAAAAACAUAUUUUGUUUUCCUGAUUAUUUUCCAAAGGAACUCUGAACAAAACACAUUCAGGAGUUGAAAAAUCCAACUGGCUCUGAUGUUUCCUGUUUUCCUGGAUUGCAGCAGUGCUGAUAGUCAGAUACGGCAUGAGAAGGGUGUGGGAAAUGGCAGCAGAACAUACCCUGCCCUGUCUUGGAACAUGAGGAACUUCACCUAUGCUCAAAGAGAAGAUCGAGGAAAACUGGCAGAGGGAGGAAGCGUAUCUGGAGUGUUUUGGCUGUCGUGUAAAAUUUAAAAGAAUGUAUAAAUCCAUUGCAAAGGCUGUGCUUUGUAACAAUCUCCUUCCGUGAAUUUUGCUGGUUUCUGAAAUUCCCCAUCUGCAAACUUCUAUUAUAUUCUUCUCAGUUCUUCCCUGAUUCUUCUUUUUUUAUUAUUAUUAUUGAAUCCCCCAGGAUUUUCUAGCCAGAGGAACAUGUAGCUCUCAUAAACGAUGUAGACCUGCAUCCCUUUGGCUUCUCUGCUCUGAUGUGCUCAGGGAAAACCUGAAAAUAGACAUCAGGAUGGUUUCUUCACCCUCUGCCACUGUCUGACAUAGAUGACCUUCAUCAAGUCACAUCAUCACACACACCCAUUUAUAGAUCAGAGAGGGCAGUACUGCCUCAUUUGAGCACUGCUGUGGGUUAUGGGAGCCUUGCUAACUGCAGGGGCUGUGCAAAGGGAGCGCUGCGCAGGUUCAGACUGUCCCUGUGCAAGGAUUCCUCCGACGGCAGCACCGCCACGUCCCGUCUCACAGCACCUGACAACAUUCCAGUUGGAGCUUGCACUUUCAGGCAGGGGCUUUCAAGUUUGAUCCCUUCAAAUCUCUGAAGUUCACCCGCACAAUUACCUCUGCUGUUCAAAGCAAGCCAGGGCUUAGAUGGAAAUAAAGAACACGAAAGGAUUUCCCAGGGUGCUCCUGGAUACAGAGAAAAAAAAAAAAAAAAAAAGGAAUGGAAAGGGAAAAAAAAAAAAGAAGAGAGAAAGAAGAAAGAGAAGAAGCAUUACACCUUGAAGUUCUUGCAGUUUAUGUGAUAUUGUGUGAUAUUAAAUGGCCAAAUUCUGUUCUCAGGUGGCUGAGAUCAAGCCCUGCUAUGCUGCUGUUGCAGCCAUCAGCACACAUCUUGGUGCUCUGUGUGCUCAGGGGGAACAGCUGUGGGAUCCCUGAGGGUAUGGGGACCUAAUUUGCCCUAAAAAGCCCAGAGGACCUUUGCUAGCAGUUGUAACACUUCUCUCAAACAGUAUUGUGUUUUCAGCUGGAGACAGCAGCUGCCCCUUGCAGAAUUCAGGCUCCAUCAGACCGAAGCUCCAUCCCGUUGUUUUAUGAGAAAUUCACAUACACAUAGCUGUAAAUUAGACAUAUCAUGGAUUAACCUGUAAUAAGCUGCUCCUUUAGGUUUAAAAUUGUUACCAAUGAGCCGCAAAUUUUAACUAUUACCUACACCUUAUUCCCUCCCUGACUCCGUUUGCCCUGUUUCCAGUGUUGACCUCACUUCCUGCUUUUCUCUUUCUUCUCCUGCUAAUUAGGCAUAUUUGUAUGUCUUAGGAGGGCACCUGAUCUUGCUGCUUAUUUCCCACUUGGAUCAAAAGUCUUUAAAAAAAGUUUCAGCUUUUAAAACACAUUUUACGAGAUGACUAUAUAUAUAACUAACCUCUUAGGAUCGAUACUGACCUACAUCUUUUUCUUCUGUCAUAAUGGGCUUAUCUUUACCUGAUGCUUAAAAUAAUCUUUUCACCUGAGCAGUUCUGUCAUUUACACUUUCUUUCUCUUUCUGUCUGUUAAAAAAACAUUGCAAGGAAAAGAAAAAUCAUCUAUUGGAUACAGCCUGUUUGCACUGGGCACACAUGUUUAUGAAUCAGAUAAGACCUUUGUGUGUCAGGUAGGUGGUGGCACUAAAAGCUUUGUAUAUCACGACAUCAAAGCAGCCAGGAGAUGAAAGAGCAUAUUUUUGCAUCAUAAACAAUAUUUACAUAUUGUGAUAUUCCAAGAAUCUUUCAUUUAAACAGGUGGAAAAACAGGGAAGCAAGCACACAUGCAAGGCAAAAUCUUACUUGUGGUUGAUGAUUAAAUUUUAUAUGGCUUUGAUAUAACCACUGCAAUUAAGUGCAGUGAUGAGCAAGGACUUGUUUUGCUCUUUAUAGGGUACACAUUGUUUACUAAUCCCUGGUUCAUAUGAUAAAUCCGUCAUCAUCUGGGCACAGCUGCAAAUAAAAUUUUAAAAGGACAAUUUUCACCCAGUGGAGCAAAUUUCAGACUUCUUCUCUCUCCUGUGCCGUCUCACUGUAUUUUUUCCCCCUGUGCAAAGCUUAAUAUAGGCAACUUUUGAACUCAGACUCAGACUUCAGCCCUUUUGUCGCCAGAUUCUAUCAAUUGUCAGGCUCUGGAUCACACAUUCUCAAUGUAAAUAGAGGCUGGAGAUUCAUUUAGCAUUGCAGCCGAAGGUGGUUGUUAAAAACUGGAACGCGCUCAAUCACUGCAAAUCAACACACUGCAAUUUUCACUUUUCCUGAUUUUGAGCAUUCAUCACCACUUGCUCUUCACCCUUGAAAAGAAGGGCAAAAAGACAAAUUACUUUAAUUAGGAAUUAGUUAUGAGAGAAUGAGGUGUUCUAAUUAUAUCUAGAACCUCUUAAAUAGUUUCACUCAGGCUUAUUUGAUUUCUUAAUUACUGAAAGAGAAAAGCCGCGUGCAAAUUGUGUCAGUUUUUUAAAAGUGAAAUGCUGUCGCUCCUUUGAUAUGAUGGAUUAGUCUUCAAUGAACAGCGGUAAGGCAAUAACACCUCUAAGACAGCACAUGCAUUAGCACAGGACAAUCUUUUUUUGUUGAAACAUUAGAUAAUCACCUUCUCCCGUAUCUCAAAAUACAUUAUUUUAUACACUACGGUGUGAAACCAUAGAUGUGACAGGCUGUAAUGAUUUAUUUAUGAGACAUUAUUCUUUGAUGCAAGAAUACAUUAGGUUAUAGAUCCCAUUUCCACAGAUAUAAUAUGUCAUGUGCUGCAUCUGAGCUCCAGUAAGAUACUGUGGGAUGUGAGUUUCAUUUUGUAUAUAUAAAACUGCAUAUAAAUAUAUAUUUUAUGGCUCUAUCAACAACCAAAGUUGAACAGCAGUUUCCCUUUUAAUGGAUCCUUCAAAUCAUAUUUUUCCUGGGCUUGUCUGAAAAUAUAUAUCAAAUUGGUGGUAGGUCUGAAGAGACUGUGGUGGCAACAGUAUUUAGUUUAUAAAUGCUUUGAAUACUAUUCUUUGUUAUGGAUGUUGAAUGUAUCUAUUUUAGCUAUUUCAGGAAUUAUGUAGAUCAUUUUGAAAGUAAUUAUCCAGAUUAUUAGCAGCAUUUUUCAACUGUAUCUUUGCUUGUCUUAAUAACAUGUCCAACUGUAUCUGAAACACAGAGUGCAGCUCAAAUUCUGAAUCAGAAAGCGCAGCACAAAUUUAAAAUCCCUCUAAAAAUGGUUUUCAUGAUUUCUUAUUCUAUUUUUCUUCCUCUCUUCUUUACUGAAGGCAAAAUUUGUGAAAGAUUCAGUGUUGGAUGGACGUGUCUACCAGGCAAAGACAGCAGCUAGUGUUCAUCACAUCUGCAGUCCUACUCUGGCAGGAUCAGGACUCGGAUGGCCAGUGCCUAUGGGGCUGAGAGUGAGGAGGGACCUGGAACCUCAUGGGGACAGGAAAAGGUCAGACAUGUGCUACGCAUCUUGCAGAAAUUCUCAGAGUCUUUUGGAAAAUCAUUUUUUGAAUGUGUGAUGCAUGUGGGAUUCAGGAUCUGGCCCAAAUUUUUUAAAAGAUCCCUAAUCAAUUAGUUGUCUUUUAAUGUGUAUAUAGUCCUUGUGGUACUGUAGCCUGGUUCAAGGGAUGUCAAGGUGGACGACUUCCUUCAUCACCAGUAGUCAUGGUGAGCAAAAUGUGCUAAUGGAGGGGUGUUUAUUUUCAAGCCAAACAUAAAAUAUUAUUUCUUCUAUCAUCGUGUUCAAGGUCUUGUAAUUGUAGUCAUUGAUUACCAGUGGGUUACGCUUGUGCAAUAAAUAAAAUACCGAGAAUCUAGAAAAGCAGAUCUGCAUAAUAAUAGAGAGAAAGAUGCUCAGGGUCUCUGUAGUUCACUGGAAUGAAUAGAGGAAUGAAAAUGCCCAGUUGCACAGGGAAGGGCACUGCAAGGGGGAAGAAAAGAUUUGCAGUAGCAGCACUGACAGGAGGAUCGUCCCGUAAUUGAAAAUCUGGGGAUGACUAUUAACUAUCAUCCUAACAAUUAAUUCAGUAUUUAGGAGGCAACUGUGUGUUGUGUCAGUGGUACACACAUAUGCUGGGUCUGCAAGUGAGUAUGAGCACUGUUAAUGAACUGUUUUAUUUCACUCUUUUGUCCAGAAAAAGAUACAUUUUCAAACCUGAUUUUUCUGCAAAAUAAUUCUGAUUCUGAGCCUUUUGUUUCAACAUGCUAUGUAUGUUAUUUUUUCUUUUCCCUUCGUUACAGAUUGGUUUUUAAAUGUCAGUGUAUCCACAGGAAAAAUAUAUCAGUAAUAGUAACUGCACUGAAAUGUGCCAAAAUUUUCAAUUCAAAACACUGUGUUUAUUCAUUAUUGACUCAUCAACUUAUUGCAGCUCCUGCUUUUUAUUGCACUUCAGAUAGAAACAUUUUCAAAAUUCAAAAUAUUUUGCAGAUGUAGGAAAAAUAUUUCAUCUCACAGUUUUAAAACCAUAAAGGUGAACCAAAACCAACUUGUUGUUUCUAUUAAAAAUUUCCCUUGAUAUGAAAUGUGUCCUCUGAUUCCAGCCAUGUAGAGUUUAUAUGAUCCAUAAGCAUAAUUCGGAGGUUGUAAUCUCUCUAUCACUAUUUACCUAAAGGCCUCAUGCCUAAAGCUUGUCUGCUUUCCCUCAUACCUCAGUCAGGCAAACAAAUUAAAUUUCUUUCUCUUCAUAGAAUCAUAGAAUGGCUUGGGUUGGAAGGGACCUCAAAGACCAUCUAGUUUCAACUCCCUGCCAUGGACAGUGUUGCCACCCACUAAAUCAGGCACCAGACCAGGCUGCUCAGGGCCCCAUGCAGCCUGGCCUCGGACACCUCCAGGGAUGGGGCAUUUUCUCUUGUACAGAUCUUGCCAGACUCCUAUCUUCAAACCCUUGUUACUUCACUAAUUAUGCUAUAAUAAGUAUUAUGAAUAUUCAUUAUGCAAUUUAAGUUUAAAAAGUGUUGUAAUACAUCACUGGAGACCUUUCUCUGGGCAUCAUUCUGGGCUCCAGAGGAAAUUUUAUGUGUUCUCUUGAAGUUCCUGGGCCAUUCUUAUGGCUAUUUCUUAUUAAUUAAGAUUUCUAACUGUAAACAAAAUUAUUAAGUGUUCCCUUAAGUGAGCAUCAUUCAAAUUUUGAAAAAUGUACUUUGAAAAAUAUAAAACACAAGCACAGGAGAGAGAAAACAGCUCUUAGAAAGGGUAGAUAAUGGCAGGACAAGGGGAACUGAUUUUAAGUUGAAGGAGGGAAGAUUUAGGUUGGAUAUAAGAGGAAAGUUCCUUACUGUGAGAGUGGUGAGGUGCUGGAACAGGCUGCCCAGAGGGGCUGUCUAUGCCCUGACCCUGGAGGUGUUCAAGGCCAGGUUGGAUGGGGCCUUGGACAGCCUGGUCUAGUAUUAAAUGUGGAGGUUGGCAGCCCUGCCUGUGGCAGGGGGGUUGGAGCUUGAUAAUCCUUGAGAUCCCUUCCAACCCAAGCCAUUCUAUGAAAACACAAGCUAACAUAGGAAACUGCAUGCCACCAUACACCCUCUAAUGCUCUUUGAUCUGAAGACCCCUCACAGUUUGAAGGAGAUGGAGAAGAGCUUUCAAGAAAGGAGGCUAGAAGAGACCAGUUGAGGGCACUUUGGAGGAUGGGGAGAGGAAAUUGGGUUUUGGAGAGAGAGAGAGGGGAGGUGAAUGUGAGGGCUAUGAGGAGGUUUCAGGACACUCCAUGAGACAAAGAAGGAAUGGAAUUAGGUAGCACAGGGAUGUUUAAUGCCUCUGGAGCAGAGUUGGGUGGGAUCCUUAAGCAAAUCCCCAACCAGAUCCCCCACCAUCUCUAAUCAUUUGGGAGCCAGUGCAACCUGCCAUGUCCCUAAACUACCUCUCAAUUAACUCCUCCACCUACAGUUCACACUGCUGCCAACGUCAAUGUCUCCUAUUUGCUUCUUCCAGAAGAGUCAGGUCCUGUUCCAUGGAGAAACAGAAGGAAUUAGAGUAUCCUCCUCUCAACAAAGACAGUUCUUCCAUUUCAUGGAAAGAGGAUGCACCACUGCUUGCUUCAGUCUGCUAUAAUACUUGCAGAAAUUGCCUACAUCAUCUACAUUCAAAGCCUGCUCUGUAAUGGGCAGUGGAUAUCACUUAUGUAAUUAAGCAGAGGUAAAUAAACAUGCGUAUGGUACGCAGUUAAGCUAAUCAUCCCAGAUUAUCAGUACAGUCAGUGAGGACAUAGACAGGCUAUGCAUAGGAAUCUUGAGUGUGAUUCGUCCUCCUUAAGUAAAUGUAUACAGUAGGUCAGGAAAACUGCACCCUAAAAACACUUAUUUCUCUUCCUUGCCUAUAAGGAGAGCCCAGAGUGAUUAGCACAGCUGUAGAUAUCUAUUCUGUAGAUGCUGAAAGAGAAAUGACACAAAUUCCACCCUGAUGUCUGCAAAAACAAAUGAAGUUUGCCAUAAUGGUGGUGGUUGAGCUGUGGCUUGCAACGCACAACAGGAAUAUGUGGAGAUGCUUCUAGCUUCUCCUUGAUCAACUCUGAGCAUCAAUAGUUUGCAGAGGUGUCUCAGGGCACUUGUUGCUAAAGUCAUAAUUAGUCUGUUGGUAAGGUGGGACACAAAUCAGAUUUAGAUUCCUGAAAGAGAUGCAGCUCUUACAUUGUGGAGGAUAAAAACAGAACAUUUAAUUGCCAAAUGGACAUAUGAAUAUGUCGAUCAAAAAACUUUUUUUUUUUUUUGGGGGGGGGGGGAAGUAAAAAGUUAUGUCUUAGGUGGAGGAACAACUGGCUAAUCCUUCAUAGAAUCAUUAUCCUAGAAUCAUAGAUUCAUUAAGGUUGGAAGAGACCAAGAUCAUCUGCUCCAACUGUCGACUCAUCCCCAGCAUGCCCACUAAAUCAUACCCCUCAGUGCCUGAACUCUUCCAGGGACAGUGACUCCACCACCUCCCUAGGCAGCCUGUUCCUAUGUGUUACUACUCUUCCUGAGAAUAAUUUUUUCCUAACAUUCAAUCUGAACCUCCCUUGGUACAACUUAAGGCCAUCACCUCUCAUCCUAACUGCUGUUACCUAGGAGAAGAGGCCGACACCCACCUCACUACAACCUCCUUUCAUGCAGUUGUAGAGACCAAUAAGGUCUCCCCUGAGCCUUCUCCAGACUGAACAAUCCCAGUUCCCUCAGUCACUCCUCAUAAGACUUCCAGGAAUUUCAAAGGCCGAAAGUCUCGGUGUUAGCAUUAGGAGAUACCAAAAUGAUCUGACCAUGUAGGGAUGCACCUUGUAGUUGUAUCAUCCCCAGUCUGAGGAGUUGGGGCCAGUGUGGAUACCCUUAUUCCAUCUCACCAAAUGAAGAGCAAAAUAGAAAACCAUUCAUGCUGACUUGCCAGCUACUGCCUUUCAAGUAUCAUUACACAUUUCACAACAAUCUUCUCCUUUUAUAAGUACAAUCACUUGUGGCUCUGGGAUCUACCUACCAACUGCUCUUUAUUCAUCAUUUCUCCAGCAACUCAUACCUUAACAACAUUACACCAGAGCAGAGCCUGUCUGUGGCUCCACACAGAGCUCGACAAUGUCCUGCCUACAUGUGGAUGGAUGGAGGCAGUCAGUAAGAAGCAACUUUAGGCACUGCCUUCUCCCUGGGAACUACAGGCAUUGACUCUGGAGCAUAUCCCAGCUCUUGCCAGCACAGUAAGCAAGAGAUUUCAUCAUAAUCAUUUUAAUAUCUUUCAAAUGUUGCAUGGACAGAUAGCAGUCCAGGAAGAAUAUACACUAGAGGGUAGUCAGGGAGCGUGAUUAGUAUUGGAAACAAGUAUUUUUCUUGGCAGAGGAUGAGCAUGCCAUUUGACAGAUAGCAAAACACGGCAAGAAUGCUGCUCAGUAGUAGCAAAUGCCAAACAUUCUCUUGUGUACACCGAAGAAACUGAGUUUUGUUUUGUCUUGUUUUGUUUUUAAGCAUAGGGGAAGGGAGGGGGCUUACCACUGUCUGCAGUAGCACACAUGGCAGUACCUGCUUCUACUGCACUGUGCUCACAGCAGCUGGGAGCAUUUUCCAUGUGGGAUGGUUCUUCUCCCAAACCAAUCUAACAGGGUUAAUAAGCAAUCUGAAAAUACUGACUGGGCUUUAAUUUCUGCUGGUGGAGAGCAAACCAUUACCAUUACCAUCUUUCACACAUACAUGCAUCUCAUCUUCUGUAUCAGUGUCUGUCAGCUGUUGCAGUCAGCCAAGAAAAAAUGGGAUUAUUUCUGAGCAGUCUGGACUUCUGAGAGCCCUUUAAAUUAAAACAAAGCUCUAUGUCAACAAAGUUUUAUUUUGGUAUGUUUUACUCCAUUGCCAUAUACUGCAGAAUAAAGUGUUUGGGUGUCUAAAGAGAAAGUUAAACAGCAAUUAUUUAAUUUUCAGAUUGUCUCUGGUAGGCAUCCAGGGCAAUGAGAUUUUGAUAAAUAUUUUAUAUGGAUUUUUACAGAAUGUGUAUCAUCUGCUCUUCUAUAUGGAAGCAGACAACUUCUUGUCUGUGGUGCCAAUGACUUUUAACCUAAGUCACAGCUUGACAGGAUAGUUUUUUAGAAAACAAAGCACCAGGAUAAAAAAUCAUCCCUUGGCCUGGGAGAGUGAUUUUCCACUCAGGUGCAAUGCAGCUUCUCAGAGUCACUCAGGCAAAGGCUCUGCAGUCCUGAACUGGCCUGGUUUCCUCAGCUGUGGCCUUUUUCUUAUGAGAGGACAGCUGAUUGCAUGACCCCAUGAAACACAAUUUAGUGGAUAAAUCUGGAAGGCAAAACAAAUCCUUGCUUUUGAACCAAGCCCAAGAUAAACACCUGGGUAAAAGAAGAGCCAUCACACAGCUUUUCACAGAACCAGCUCUUCCAAAGUUUGGACACAACACUUUUCAUUCUUCAUUCAUUUCUUAGGGCUUGUGAAAGUAGAAGUGUUUUCUUCAGCUCUUGAUUUUACACGUUCAGUCAUGCUACCUGCUAUGCUUGGAACAAUCUUGUACAUCCUUUCAUGAAAUCUCCUCCCACCUCUCCAUACAAUGCAUUCCCACAGCAGUGCUGCCUCUUCUUUUCCUCUAAGGUCACUGCUCUCCCUAGAAUUUGGGCCAGCUGUUACUCCUGUGGCGUUGUUCACUUUCUCCAGAUUACCCUGUGUACUCCUCAGGGAUGCAUACCUUACUACACACUGGAGAAGCAAACUGAAGUCCAACCAAAGUUAAUGGCAAAAUUCCCAUCAACUUCAACAGAGCCAGGAUUUUGCUCAAAGUAUUCAAAUGAGUCCUUCGCUGGGCGUCUGUGAUGCAGAUAUUUCUGUGUCCAAGGGCAAAUUGUAUCUCCUAUCUACAUGUAAAGCAGACCGGACAGCUAAUAUUUUCAGUGUAGUAUUUCUGUCUAAAAUAAGCAAUUUUGUCUGAUAGCAAUAUAGAAUUUUAUAUAGCAUGUAAAAGCCUGAUUAUAUAAAGCUUUUUGUUCUUUUUUUCCACUUCAGUUGGCAAAUAUAUAUUUGCAGAUAUCUUAUCUAUAUGUUGCUGUUUCCUUGAGCACCUCAAACAAUAAAUCGAAACAUGCCUCAUGGUAACAUUGUUGGGUAUUUUUCUCUCACCCACAUACAUACCUACAAAGGUUUAAAAUACAACUUUUGAAAAGAUUCAGGACUGAAGGGGGAAAAUAAUCUUAUUAUGCAACAAUUAAUUGUCCUGCCAAAUGUGGGUGCCUUGGAAGCUUGAACAACCCGCCAACACACCUGUGUACAUUGGCAUUAAGUUAAAUCAAUAACAAAAAAAAGGCCCGCAGCCAAUUACCUGUCACAUGGAGAUUCAUUUUAAGUGGAGGUUUUACAAGCAUAACUUGAAUCAUAUCAUACUUACAAGAUAGUCCGUAUAUGAUAUUUACAAAGAUAUUUGAAUUGAGAAUAACAUUGAACCAAAAAGCUGUGUAUUACAAUGUCAUUAAGAAGCAAUCAACAGACACAGUAGCAAUUAAUUUUCUGUCACAACAGAGAACAGUAAUUUACCAAAAUACAGAUAGGAGCAAAAAGAAAUGUGUUUUCUCUAAAUUGCAAUUUCUUGUGAUUAUUAUCAUACAUUAGGCCAGGAAAAAUGUCAUUUCCUACUUCCUGUCUUUCACUGUCUUGAUAUAUAUGCCUCACGUAUGCCCAUUUAUUGCUUUGUAAUUAUUUUCCAAAUAGUUCUUUGGUUGUUUAAAAACAGCUCAGCCUUAUUUCUUGUAUUUUUUUCCAGUAUAUGAAGAAAUUACAUGAUUACUAUUUCCUCCUUUACAGUGAUUGCCAAACCAGGUUCAUGAACGUAACAAUCAUGCAGUAUGGAGUAAACAGGAGUCAGAAGCACAGUUCUGUCCCUCUUCCAGUUCUGCCCAUCAAGGCACAUCAGACAUCAAGGAUGGUCUCGUAGGUAGUUUUCAUAAUGGGAAAGGACCUAAUAGUGGUAACAAAGCCUUGAUGUGCAAGAUGCUGUAUGAAUCUUCAGCCCCCAUCCAUUUCAGUAGAUGUUAAAGGUGCAAAGUAUUUGGCCUAAUUCAUCAACUUGUCUUUCUCUACUUACUUCUUCACCACAGAGUAACUCAAAAAGUCACUGUAGGUUUUGAGUUGUUCUCUGCAGUCCUGUAUUCUAGAUUCUAUUUUUUUUAAAGUAUAUUCAUUUAUUAGUAUGAAUCAUGGUCAAUUUAAAAAGCUUUCAUGUUAAAGACAGUACUCAUAAAAUCUAUAAUGGAUAUUUCAUCCAUUUUCCAAGAAUUCUGAAGAUCAUUUUUUAAUCAUGAUGAAUCAACAGCUCCUUCUGACACAGCACUGUUUCUCCACCAAGGCCAUUGCAUGGCGUGCAGGCAUGCUGUCAGAGCAGAACCAGCUUCAGGAUGUGCUAUGACUUGACCUGCCUGCAAGAGAGGAUAGAACAUCCUCUAACUUAAGAACUCUUCCAGCAAUCCUCCAAUUGUUUCAAAAUUAUUUGAUAAAAAUGCAGUUUAGGCCCUCUUGAGGUUCAUCUUAUAGUGAAAUAUACCUUUACACUAAUACACUGGUAUAAGGCUAGAAUGUAACAGAUGAGAACUGCAGUGGUUCUAACUGCUGUAAUGUUUUGUGAACUGGGAAGAUUUCAUUCCACUUCACUAUGAAUUUGAUCAAGUUAAAUUUCAGUAAGAAAAAUGAUGGUAACAUAAUGCCAAAGAUCCAUUAAACAAGAUCUUACUGCACUAAGUGUUGCAUAUAUUGAAUUAAAAGAUUGCCUUACUGUUAUGGUUUAACCCAGCAAGUGGCAAAGCACCACACAGUCAUUCAUUCACUGUUCCUCUUCCAAGUGGGAUUGGGGAGAGAACUGGAGUUGCGCCAGGGGAGAUUCACGUUGGAUAUUAGGGAAAAUUUCUUCUCUGAAAGAGUGAUCAGGCACUGGAAUGGGCUGCCCAGGGUGGUGGUGGAGUCACUGUCCGUGGAGGUGUUCAAGAAAUGUUUAGAUGUUGUACUGAGGAACAUGGUUUAGUGGGGAAAUAUUGGUGGUAGGUGGAUGGUUGUGCUUGAUCUUGGAGGUCUUUUCCAAUCUUAAUGGCCUCAAUGACUAUGAAUUAUCAUUAAAAGUGACACUCAGGAGAAUAGUUCCAACUGUUCACAAACAUGUUUUCCCUGUCAGACUUGAUUUUCUAUAUUUCCAUAAUUUUUUACCAUAAACUCUGUGUUUUAUAAGAUUGUCUGUAUAUUUGAGGGUUCUCUUCUGAAGAUGUUAUUCCAGAAUGGUUUUAUUCUUUAAAUAUUAAGGUGAAGAGAAUCAAAGAUUUUACACCCUUCCUCUCAAGCUGCCUUAUUCUUCAAAAAAUGUUUAGAAUUGCAUUAACAUCUUGUAAAACUAUAACAUUAGCAGCUAGAAGUCACUGUUAAAGCUUGAAGUCACUGUCAGUGAAGUUACAUUAAUUAAUGUUUCCUGUGUUAAUGUAUCUAAAUCUUAACUGUAAUUGAGUAGUUACAUCAGCUAGGUUGUCCUUUUUACUUUUUCAGACCUUAAGCAGUAUUGAUGAGUAUUUCCUGUUAUCUGAAUAACAAUAUACUCCAGGAUUGUAAAGGUAAUGUGUCCAUUAGCAGUAAGUCUCUCACUGGCCCUUACAGCUCCCACAUCCUCGUUGGAAAACAGGGCCACAGUCCUGAAGACCUGAGGCUGUUUUAAGCUCCUCAAAUAAAGACGUUUCUCUCAAAGCAGAGUUAGAAGCUGAAGAUAACAGAGUGCAAUAGGACUUGUGAAAAGGAUGUCAGCAAUGUCAGUUGUCAUGGUUUCGGGUCUGAGAGAGCGUUAAGUUUCUGAACUUGUUCUGUUAUCAGAGCCACUCUCAGUUCCCCAUUUAUUGCCAAACUAUGUAGACUCAGAGAAGCUGGAAACAUGAGGGACCUGUCUGGCGUCUGAGUUCAGACUCUUUCAGGAAUGCUCCAUACCUAAGUUUCCAAAACAUACCAAGUGCUAAAUGGCUUCAUCCAGGGACCCUUGAAGCCACUGAAGUGCAAUGUAUCAUUGAGGUGCUUUUCUCGUCCAAUAAUUCUAAUUUUUGUAGAGUUACUUGUAAGGUCUUGCAUCUGCAAAGCAGAAAAAAAGAUUGAGAAAACGUUAUUUCCAAAAAUUAAAAAUUAAAUAAAGGUUAAUUUAAUAAAGGUGAUCAUAUUUCAAUUCAAAAAAAAAAAAAAGUAUAGUUCCUUUUCACGGUUUUAACAUCAGAAAUGUUUAAACAGCCAACACCUCCCAGCCAGGUAUCUUUUUUGAAGCAUCUAUAUAUUGAACAAAAUAGUUAGGAGUUAUCAUAUCUACUGCGACCUAGUAGUAUUUUUGAUACAGGAUUUCAGAUCAAUUAACAGAGAGUCACAGAGUGAGAACUACUUAAGAGUGUGUCCCAGGUAGGGCACUGCCAAUGGCACAAGCCAAGCAGAACGCAAGAAUUCAUCCUUGAGAUCCAACUGGAAGAUGUCAUUGAAAUGCCAGCAGUUCCGUCUGCCAGACUUCAAGUUGACAGGAUUGAGAUCUUCCCUCUUUGGAAAAAAAAGACAACAGAUAAAGAUGCCUCAGUGGAAAUAUGCCAGGUUUCUAUGCAAUCACUCACCUCGUCAAGCUGGGAUAAUUUCCACAUUGCUCCAUCAUACAUUGACUCGAAUUACACUAUAACUUUGAAAUCAACAUUUUCUAGUUGUCUCCUUGAAAACUUCUCAAAAUGAUCUUCUUAUCCUUUCUGUUCGUCUGAUGAUCAUAGUAUUUGGAGUACAGUAUUAGCUGCAACUGAGGAUACAAACCGAUACAUAUACUGACUACAGAUAUGUUUGCAUUUACACUUGUGUAUGCGUACUGCAUUGCAGUGGAAAAAAAAAAAACGUUUACUUAAGUGAAAUUGGUAUUACUCUGUUCUCAUAUGGCUAUGCAGAGGGCACGGUUACCUUCCAGUGGGAAAUAGAUACCAUAGAGGCAUUUAACAUCAAGCAGUUGACGGUGAAACUACACACGCUUUCAUAUAAAAUGCCACGGAACUAAGUUACUGCAUUCUUCAAUAUUCUUCUCUGAGACCACUUCUAACUUUUAUGAUCCCUCUAAUUCAAACUUAAGUAAUAGAGAAUGUGUCAAUACAACUUUCCCUUUAAGUAUUGCUAAGGAGCAUGCAGGAGCCCACAUGUUUGCUUAACUGGCCCUGCAACCAACACUGCUAACAAUAAAACCAGAAGUUCAAACCCAGUUCCUUGCUUUCAAGUAUGCCCUUCAAACAGAAAAUACCAGUUUGUCAUCCUUCUAAAACAAAGUGCAUGAUAACCAGGAAUAAAUCUAACGUAUCUACCCCAUCAUUUUACUGACUUUUUUCAACACAUACUUUCUACCAAAGGUAACAGCUACUCAUGGCAUAUAUGCGUGUGCAUUGGUAAGCAUGCCUCAGAGACAUACAACCUCCCCCACCCUGCAUUUUCAAGUGCUAUAACACACUGCCUGCUUCCUAGUCCUGCAAAUACCCUUGAAGUGGAAUAAUGUUUAACAGAGGGCAAUACUGCUGGAGAACUGCCAAAGAAAUGAAGGGUGAGGGAAGCCAGUCAAGGCAUUCUGAUGAAUAUUUUUGUACCUCCAAAGACACAACUAUUAUGCAAACAUUGACCUGUUUGUCAAGCAAUCACAGUUUACUAUUGCUUAAAGGUCACAGAAGUUUCUAAGAUUAUUAAAUAAUGCAUGGAGCCAAAGACCAAGGAUAUUAUUUAAACAGUGGAGGUAACUUUUGUUAGUGAAGGACAAUACGAUGACAAUGCCCCUUUAUUUUCCCUUGAAAAUCUCUAGAGUUUGCACUGUAAUAUAGUAAUGGCCCGUUUAAGCUGAAAGAAGGAACUCUGCUGCGGAAAUGUGGCUCAGUACUACAAUAAAAUAUUACAUGCGUUUUUCUCCCCCUUUCUCUACAUUUGUUGGUACAUGAUUUAUGUUUUUCUACAGGCCUUUCUCUGGUGCUAGGGAGCAACAGUCUCUCCAGCAGUCUAUACGCAUAUAUUUGUGAAUGCAAUGAUCAGUCCCCAUUUGUCUUUCCAAUGUGGAUUAUAAUCCAGUGCAAAAAUUGUUUUGCAACAAUUGAGAGUAUGUGCUGUGCACACAUAAACAGGAAUCAGCAGAGGUUUGCAAAACCUAGUAUCAACUUUGUCAUCUGUUGAGACUGCUUCAUGAUAAGAAAUCCCACACUUACUGUUUCCCAAAGGCUGCAGUCCCUUCUAUUCUCACUAGGCCUUCCAGGUCAUCUCUUCGUGGUCUUCAGACAUUCCCAAGCUCCAGCUAGGUGAGUGAUCCCUUCCAAUGCAAAGAAUUCUGCUCCAUGACCUUCAGUUUCCAGGUAGCUGCCCUUUUGACAGAGACCCAGAAGGGUACAUUUCCCCCAUUUCACCAAGCAGCUACAAAGUUGUUCUGAAAGCUGCAGUGGGCCGGCCCUGGGAUCUUCAUCAGAAACUACAAGCAGAUAAUCUCAAAGGUUUUGUUCCAUCUCAGAAAUAAUCAGUACUUCCCUCUACAUUUAUAAAGCACAGCUGUGUAUAAACUGGAAGAUAAUGGAAGUGAAGUAUUAAUGACAGAAUUUCUGAUUUAAACAAAAUGAAUAAAAAAAGAAUAGCAGUCAUGAAUUUGGGUGGAUUCUAGCACUCAGUGUUUUUUUUUCUUCUUGGUGGUACUUGGCUACUGUUGCCUCAUUUUUAUGAACAUUUAUAUUUGGAAGACUCCCCAUUAUCAUUCUACUUGGUUGCCAACAGCAAAAGCCAUAACGACAGGUCCAAGAAGGGACAGAGAAAGAAGAACAUUUGGAGGCCAACAGAGAACUAAAAUUUCAGUUUCAUUCAUCAUGAUCAUGAAUAUGCACUCCCAUCAAAACAUUUAUAGGUGACUUACAGUAAUAUGAAAGACACCUAGCUGCCAAGAAACCUUUGGUCAUAUCACAGGGCAACCGAGGUUAUCAUCAAGAACAAAAACUAAUCUUAGAAAAAAAAUCCAAUAAAAAGACAAUAUCUCUGGACAAUUAUUUCACAUGACAAAUAUCACGACUUCAUAGAAUAACUCAGUCAUUCCAAGAAGCACUAUUUCUCCUGGAAAUCCAGAUGAAGUGAUUUGUGGAGUGGGAGGUACCUAAUAAAGCCAGUGGAAGUGUUGGCAGGGAGUUUAAUGGCACAGCACCAGAAUGACACUCCUGACCUUACAGUUUAAGCAAGAUGCCUUCAGAGGAAAGAGAAGAAAGAGCCCGUUAUUAAUGGAGUUGACAGAUACAGAAUUAAGCCUGAUAAACCCAAACUACAUUCUUCAGAGUCACCUUCCCACUGAAAACUUAUGGGCAUUUGUACUUACAUGCAGUAACUUCAUUUCUUAUCCCAAGAGGAGGUGAGUAUUCGUUUGUAUACCCUGGAGACUCUUCAAAUAAACCACUGCUCAGGGCACUGUCUGCCAGACCCACCUUCCCUAUGAUCUAGGGGAGAAAAGCAUCAAAUGAAAGCCAGAAAGUUCACCCAUCUGGAUGCAACCUGCACGUACUAAAGUGGGCAUGUCUGUUCUGUUAGCAGAGAUCCCCAGCUCCCAGCUCAGUGCAGCGCCAGGAGGAGACACCAUGCCAGGUCAUGAAGCCAGAUCUGUAUUCAUAGGCUGUUGCACCCAAAUAAGAAAUCCUCUCUGUCCACAUCCAGCAGUAAUACAUGGCAUGCACCCAGUGUGCUCAGGUGGAUUAUACAGAUGUGUGCAGUACCUAAACCAUGCUGCUGCCAGCUCUCCAUGGCAACUCAUUUCAGCAAAGACAGGGACACUUGUAGGAAAGCAAACUGAUGCAGGAGAAUUUAAUAAGUCUUGAGCCUACAUGAAAAUAAAGCCAAGCUUUCCUUAUCCUGUCUUGUCCUCACUGUUCAAUAAAAAGAAUGCAAGAAAAAAAAGCAAUCUGUAGAGUAUAAAUCAUGACUUGAUAAAUGUAGGUCCUUAGAAGCCAGUUGUGUAAAUACAGAUACACCUGCAGGCCCUGAUAACCAGAUUAGCAGUAACAGCUGCCAGACCAUGCAGCAACAACCAAGAGAUAUUGUUGUGUCCUGGCCAACGAAGUUUCCAGAUUGACUCUCAGGUGCUUCCCGUACAUCACUGUUAGUGAGAGCAAUGCAUCAUGAAAGUAGAUGAUCUCCAUUGAUCUUGAAAAUGUAACAUUUUUCUCUUUGAAUGUAUACAAUGCAGUUUGACACUCGCACUAGUUCACAGUACCUCCAGUGUACAAAGGGAUGAGACUUUGUCUGCUGGCAGCUGGGAAGAAUAUCUGAACAGGAAAAAAGAAGUUGUGUCUGGGUUUGGUAUGACCUCAUGUUAAAUAGUAUAUCCUUAUUGGGUAAAUAUCCAUAUCAACUGAUUCAUAGGUGUCCUGCCUUACCUGUUCUUAUUGAAAAUUAGAAUCUAAAAUUAACAAUUUUUCUUGGCAAAGCUCCACUUGAAUUGCAUGAAAAAAUCUGAUGAGCCUCAGAGUGACAAGAAGUACAAGCUAGAUCUACAAAUAUACACAGGCAUAGACAGAGGGGAAAAAAAAACUUUUUGUCCCUACCAACAAAUCUAACAUCAGUGGUUCUAUCUCAGCACUGCUCUUGUUAUUCUUCCUAGAAAUAGAGAUAGUUCAAAGACAAUAUAAUAAAAUUUAGGUGCUUGUGACCCACUGAGACUGUUGAGCCAGGCCUUCCUUGGUGGUACAGUUCCACUGGGGCUGAGGCAGUGGUAGAGCCAGGGCUGAUAACAUCAUCCUCUGGCAGCCCCCAACACAGCAAGCCAUCAACCUGCCAUGAGCAGAAGGAGGUGGGCCCAGAGACACUGCUGUAGAGCAGUUCUCCUGCAACAUUGCCAAAGCAAGACAACCAGCACCAGGCAGGACUGAAACAAGGCUCCUGGGCAUGGAAAGCAGUGGGUUGAGGCUCCCACUAUGAGUAGUAUCCUCAGAAAAAUCCUUUAUAGGAAAGUGUUUGAAUACCUUUAUAUCCAAAUUCAUGUGAUAAUCCUGCCCUAAAGGACCUAGGCAUGAACUAACCAGCCAAGAACUAGUCUUCCACCACGAGUAUCGGGUCUAGACUAAAAAGCCUGUGUUUCUACUCAUUUCUAAUGAUUCAAAUGACUCCCUUCUUGACAAGAAUAUCUACUGCAACCAAAAACAGUGAAAACUUGAUAUAAGUUGAAAUGUUGACUGUAUAGUUAAUAUGGACUGAACACCUAGCCAGAUCAAAAUAACUGAAAUAAUUGAAGGGUUACUGUAUGCUGGAUGUCUCUUGUCUUUGUGAGUAGUGGAAUGGAUACUCUCACAGCCAAGCUGUGAGGCAACCAAUUCAGCCUUCACAUUUCCAGUCAAGAGGCACUGCACUGCAGACAGAACUCUGAAGAAUAAUUACUGAUUACUAAUAUACUGUGGAGAAAUUGCUUUAUUACAAGGUGCAUUCUAACAUGCUGUAAAGAUGUACAAAAAAAAAAACAAAACAAAACAGAAAAAUUAAAUACUUAAAAGAUGAUUCUAGCUUGUUGUGGCCUGUUGCAAAGCAGUUAUAAAUUGGAGUACUUACAGCGGUUCAUGCAUGUCCCUGCAUGUUUGAACAGCAUAUCAGAGAAUUUAUUUAUCAGGGGAAAAAAAAGUCUCUGCUAAGUCAUUUAGUUCUUAAAAAGGUUCCUGUCAUUUACAGUUUUGCCAGAUUCUAUAAGGCGCAAUACCAGAUUGUCACAUGGGAAAGGCUUGCAGAUUCAAGUCCUUAUUCUUCCCUGUAGCGAGUACUGGAACGAACAAAUUUGGGACACAGAGGUUACGUCAAAGCCUUCCAACUCUUUGAAGGAUAAUUACCAUACCUGCAUAAUCACAUGGUCUACCUUCCAUGCGUUCAUGUUAAGGAGAGGACAUUAAUCUAACUAACGCCCAGCGGCUGACAUUAUAUAUAUAUAUAUAUAUAUACAAUAGUUCUCUAUAAGAUAUAGCACACCACUUAACAGCUGCAGAAAACUCCUUACUACAUUCACAAACCCUUGAUGGAAAGAGCUGCUUAAUUCUUUUCAGACCUGUCAUAUUAGGUAAGAGUGUUCUGCUGCAGGAUGAUGAUGAUGCUAAUUGUCACUUUGUAUUGUUUCACUAGACAGCCUAGCCCACUACUUUAUUAUGGGUUAUGUAAGAGUUACAAGAGGUAGCCAAUAAACAGUGCACUAACAGAAUCAUUUACACUCUGAAAUGUUCAGAAGUACUCACAGGUAUGUCUAGAAGUCAUCUAAAACAACGCUUUGGUUCCAGGGGAUGGCAUGUGCUGAUGCUAUGAUCUAUGUAAGACUCUCCUCAGCAAACAAAUCACAAAGAAUGUUCCCGCAGCUCUUGGUGUCGGAGGCUUGGAGGAGCUCAUCCUCUUUCAUGUUAUGCAGUAUCCAAAGAGACUAUAGUGCAAUAUUCCCCUUUUCACUAUCUGUACAAAGGUUUUGGUUGACUGGCAAGGAAAUAAUGGAAUCAAAUGGCACAUAACAACUGGCCCUCUCCCAGCGCUUGUCCAUCUUCUUUCAGUCCAUUUGUGAAAUCAUAUGGAAAUCUCAGCAAUGUUGGGAUGUCCAAACAAGCAUGGUGAGCCUUUCAGUCCCUAUUUAAUAUAUUAAUGAUCAAGAAAUUGUGUCCUUUCUCACGUGGUUUGCAAAUCUUUACUGCUGUCAUUUCCACCGGAAAGUGGUAAAAUAUGGAAGUGUUUUGAUGGAGGGAGGAGGAAAAUCUUUUCAGAUACAGUGUAGAAACAAAUAAACACAAGACAUAGUUCCUGGUUUGUAACCAAAAUCAAUAGCCAUAUGCAGCAGGACUGAGGUCAAUUUAUGCUCCCAUGUUUCACAUAUUGACAAAAUCUGUAUUAUUGUAAUGCUGUGUUUUAUUAACCUAUGUCUAAUAAAGCUUAUACUUCAUUAAAAAGCCAUUUUCAAACAGAUUCUAUGCAUUUUAUUAAUAAAUAAAUUUUAUUACUUACUGUAAAAUCAGUAACAUAAAUAAAGUACAUUAAGCAUGUCCUUUUACCUACAGAAAACAUAUCACAACUAUUUUCCUCCAAGAUCUAAUUAGAUUAAGCUUUCAUUUUCAAAACAGAAGAAAAUACCUGGGGCAGAUCUGGCUAUAAGUCAGCACCAUACCUGUUGGCUUCUUUGUUUUGUAUUUUUGUUUAUUUGGUUAUUAUUUUACCAAGUAGCAAAUUUGCCUAUGUAAUAAACAAAAGGAGCCCUCUUGUGAUAGAGCCUACUCAAAAGUAAAAACAGAUACUCGUGAAAAUAUCAAAUGAUUAAUUUUUUUGCAUUUUUUAAACAAUUAAAUGGUGUUCAUUAAUAUUUCAUACUGCACAAAUAUUUUUAUAAUCAUGCUUGCUAUCUCUGUAACAUUCAGAUAUGCCUGCAAAUGUUGAGUAGCCAUAGAUCCUAGAGUCAGGCUCUUUAUUACAUAUGCUUAUAACUAUGACUCAUAAACAAGUGCUAAACUAAAUGCAGCAUAUGCAAUUGUUGAAAUAGCACUUUGUUUGGGGGAAAUAGCGUCUUGAAUUAAUGCUAUGAUGGAAGUGUGAACUUGUAUAACAUAUCUGAGUUUCAAUUUCUUACCUUUAAAAUGGGAGAAUUAACUUCAAAUGCUGAGUAUAUCACUCUUGUAAGAGAUAACAAGUCUGGAAACCAAGGAGAGUCCACAGGGUCCUCAUUGUUGAAGCAGGACAAGAAAAUUAAUUUCCCUAGUAAUUAAUAUGUUGCCACUGCAGUAAUAGACCAACAUGACAAGGUGAAGGAUCUUAGUACGAAUAUGAUCCAACAUGAUGCUUGAGCUGCAUGUUGAAAGUAGACAUUGACAUUGAUUGUUUCAUUUCUGGGAGCCUAUCAUCCAUGGCCCUAAUUAACUGCAUUUGGAAAUCUGUGUGAGCUACCUAUGGAACAGGCUUUGUCUGUCCUUACAUUUCUCCCUGAAUGGGGCUGCAAGGCUAAACUCUCUGGUUGCCUACUUUUAUAGUGGGGACAGUUGCAAUACACAUGAGCACAUUUGAAUGGCUGCUUUAACCUUUUCAGUGAGGAGAAGAUGCUCAACCAUGAGACCUCUUGUGAAGAGGAGGCAACACGUCCCAUACCCAAUUCAUUUCACAGAGGUCAUCCAAGUGCUUUCACCAAAUUCUCUUAUUUUCAUUGUGACAUGAGAAGACAUUCUUAUUGAAGUGUGCUUAAAAGAAAGCAGUCCUUGAACUCUGGAGUGACAGAAUUUUGUCUUCGUAGUUCAGUGUGGUCUACUUAUUCCCUGUGAGAGCAGAAGCAAUGCAGGGAGCACACCUUUCCCUCCAACAAUAUGGGAGGGGCUGAUACCUGGGACCUCAGUGAAGCACAGGCUGAGUUUAUUCACAGUCCAGAUUUCCUCAUUACUCCCAUGUUAUCAUUAAUAUUUCAGAUCUCCUCAAAGUCAAAAUACCAGAAUAUCUUUGUUCUCAUGAGAAAUCCAACAGCUCCUGGGGGGAAAACGCUAUCUGGAGAAAAAUCCAGACUAGAAGUGUUUAGCUGAAAAUAAUCCCCACUUUCGUUUUAAUUUACUCAUAUUUUAAUUGGAGGGAAAGAGAUGUGGGAAAUAUUGGUGAGCAGUGAAAAAGAAAGAAAGGCAAAUUCUGUACACCAAUCACUGGAGUAAAAGGUCACACCAAGGGGCAGAAUUUCCCUUCACUACAGCUGAUAGUGUUCCUCUCUAUGGAAUAUCAAGGGGAAAAAAAAUCCUAAAGUUCAGUGCUUUUCAGUGAAAAUAUUUGAUUCUUAGUCUCAAGAUUUAGACUGAGAACAGGAGGCAGUGAUGGAAUAAAUGAGAUGGAAAAAACCCUAUUAACACUCCAGGUCUCCUAAGAGUAGAAGUGACAGAACAGCCUUGUUCUUUUAAACAGAGUGCAGAGGACAUUUUAGCAGAAAACAACAACCAGCGAUAAGAUCCUAUUUGAGGGGCAUCGAUUUUCCCCUCAGGGCUCUACAUAGAAAAGAACGUAACAGCACAUUUUACUCCUGCUGGAGAUGUGCUAAAGCAGCUGUCCAGUACUUGGAAUAGAAGGAAAAACUGUUCUGAAGCACUUCUUUGUUACUUCAGUCUUUCUCUAUAUCUGAUGCAAGUCAGAAUUCAACCUUUGCAAAAUCACAAGUUGUACUCAGCUCUGGAUUUCAGAGUUACGGACCAACUCCUCCAUCAAUUCCUAUUUCCACCAUUCCUAUUUCUCUUAGUCAUACACUACACUGGUACCCUACAAUCACAACUUUCCCACAGUACUGAACUUCAAACAGUAAAUCACACACAAUACCAAAGUCUCAUUGAAGAGAGGUUUCAACCCAUAGUGAAAAUUGGUCUCCUGUUUUUUCUUAAAAACAGGAAUAAAUUAGUAUUUGCAAACUGACUAUAACACAUCUGUAGUAUUGAGAGCUUUGUAACAGCACCCUUCCAGAGAUCUACCCUGUGUGUGUCCUCCCUUACAUUUAAGUUUCUGAAGUGAGGAGCCGACAUCACACAAGCAAGGCUGGAAGGAGCCCUAUGACAUCACCUCUGCUAUCUUUCUUCCCCAAGGUAUCAAAAGAAGUAAUUUAAGGGCAUUCUGAUAGAUCAGAGAUAGCCACCCAUUUUGUUUGGAGAAAGUAUAUGAAAGCUUUCGUACUUCAGAAGACUAUAGAACAGGCUAGAACUUUCAGAGCAAUACUUCUAUUUUCUGGCACAUUUUUUUCUAACUCGGGAACUCUUUUCACAAGAGUUUUGAUCUCAGGUUUAUCAGGCAGUUGGGGAAGAAAAGAUAAGGACUGAAACAUUUCAAACUAACUGAAAGUAUCUGUGUAAGACUGAACCUAAGGGAAGAUGAAAACUCAAAAGUGGGCAGUUGUGUUCUUGUUUAUCCCAAUCUCACCACACCCACAUGGUAGCAAAAUAGGCCCCAUGCCGAGAAUUUGUGGCAAGAGCCUAUUGUGUGGGCUUGGAAUAAUUUAAGAAUUGACUGUCAGUCUGUUUCUUGGCUUCCAGCUAUGAAGUAAUGCUCUAAGUAGAGAGCGAUACUCUGAAGCGCUCAUUACAAUCUUUAAAGCUGUCUCAUUUUCAAUUAUGAAUAUUAAAAAGAAGUACUCAGUAAUUCCUGCAUGAUAAUUAAUAUUCCAACUUUUGGUGUGGCUUGUUGGUUUUUUAAGGUCUAUUUUUAAAGACACUCUCUUAACUUAUUCCGGAGUUAGUUCCCAACAACCAAAUAUUGUUCCUGUUUAUAUCAGUGGGGAAAGUCCCAGUGAAAAAACUAAUCAGACCGAAGUUAAUGAAAACAACACCCCCAUUUAAAACAAUGCCCUAGCCUUAAACAAUCUGCUCGCAUUGCCUACUUGUAUAAAAUUUUAUAGCCUGCAUGUUCCAACCUUAAAAAAAAAAAUCCUGAUUAUUUAUUUAUGCCCUUUUUGUUUAAGAAGUUAAAUCCCCAGAGCAUCUCAAUUUAGAUCAAAAGCAAGCUACCAAAAUUCACCUGGCACACCUGUGCCGUGUGAUUUCUUAAUUACUUGCCUAGCAUUCUCAGAGCUACAAGGCAGAGAUGCAGGGCUCGUUUAGCACAUAUUCAGAUCUCUGCAAUGAACCUUGUGUAACAGAGACUUUCCAGAGUGCCCGAGGUGGUAACCAGUGUUAAACGAUCCCAUAUCUCCACAAACACUUGCAUUUCAGCAAUUUGCUUUCUCACAGGUUUCAGAAGACAGAGAGCUAUCUUGGGGUGAGUAAUCUGGGGAAAUAGAUUGAUUUAUUUAUGAGUUUCUUGAUGAAGGUUUUCCCCGGCUAGUGAGCAGCAUGGAGUUCCUUGCGCCAGUAGAGCCUUCUCAGUUCGAAGCGUAGAAGUAGGCCUAUUAAUUAUGAUAGCCACAGGUUGUUAUUACUUACAUUUAUGAUGCAACACCCUAGGAACCAAGGGAAGAGUUUGGCCAUUUCUGUUACACCUCAGACAAGUCUUCAGUUGACAGUCACGGACAUUAACCUAAAAAGAUGUACUCAAAACAGGAGCAUGAGGUAUGGCACAAACAAGGCUCAUCUGAGGGAGCACACCCCAAGUUUUUGCUGAGACACUUCUUCCUCUUGGCUACAGGAUGUUUCUACACAGUGAUGAGAAACUGAGUUCACAUGUUAGAUGUGACUGCUGCUAUGCUGAUAUGCACGACUGACCAUUGAUAUGCCCCUUGUCUAGCCAGAGAACAUGCACCACUUGGAUGUAGAUGGGCUCAAAUUCAUGUUCAGUUUGCACGUACACUGACAAUUGUGUACAUGCAGGAGAAGAUCAAUCAUGUCUUAAACCUCCCUAGCACUGAGCACUCCUAGCUGUGUGUCUUCAUGCACGCAGUUUUAUAUUUUAAUAGGAUAGUCACGGUAAUUUGUUCUUUACAAGCGGUUUGGAUAGCAAUUAGGCAUCAAAUAUUACAGCUGCUUCUUUGGCUAUUUGUCAUUAGUGUAAUUUCAUUAAUUGGACAAAGCAUUGACUCUGUUAACCUGAAUAUAAUUUAAACUGCUGAAAGCUGAUGGCAUCUCUCUUGGUACAGUGAAAAUACACUGCUCUGUCAGAAAGCUAAAGGCAAUUAUUACUAUUAAUAGUGCAUGCUUCCACAGCACAAAGAAACUUCAGUGCCAUCAGGAUUCCUUACAUGCAAGAGAUGAAGCAGUUGACUUGAAUCACGCACAAAAUGAACAGAUGCAACCUGUGAUCCCUGCUUUAUCAGCGUCAUUCACUGUGACCAUUAAUGGACACAGAAAACAUUCAAUUCGAUAAUGUGUCUUUUCAUGAAAGAUUUUAGGAGAAAAUAUUUUCAGUUGUUUGCUUCAAAAUUCAAUUUUUCAUUGAGAAACAUAUCCAUUGCCAAGAAUAUUGCCAAAAAUUGCCAAAAAGUCCCAAAUGGAACCAGAGAUGCUGAAAAGGCUCUGCACAAGAUCUGUUUCAAGCAAAUAGAAGUCUCUUUUGGCAACACCAUUCUGAUUUGAUUACAGGAAAAGACAAGCCAGUAAAUUUUAAUUUGUAGAUUUGUAAUUUGUUCAUAAAAAUUUCAAAUAAUUUUGCAAGGAAGAUUGCCGUGUAUCUUACAGAUAAUACAAAAGAGAUCUUCAGGUACACUGAGAUUCGGUUGAUCAAGAUACUAAUUACUAAGCUACAUUUAAUUUCAAAAUUUUAAAAUGCUUGAAAACUCAACCAAUCAUCUCUGUUCCUUGAAAACACAUUGUUUUUCAGAAAUAUUACAGAAAAUCUGGGAUAUGGAGAUAUUUUUAAAGGUUGUGCUUCAUAACAAUGCAUUUCCCAGCUUCCUCUGUGCAAUAAAAAGGUAAACUAAGUUAUCAACAAGAAAUCUAUCUGCUAAAAGUUAAUAACAAACAUCUGCUGGUCUCCUGGGAGAGACAGUGGAAAAUGGGUGGGAAUUUCCAGCUUUAAGCAGCCACUCCCGCAGUGUUCAAGUCAACAGAAAAACCUGUCAGUAGAAGGUCAGAGUCAUUAGGAGAUUUUUUCCCCUGCAGAGAAAUAGAUCAGAUACCCAUAAUUUCAGAGACAUUAUUUAGGAUUUUACAAAGUUCUCACAUUAGGUGAAGCUCUUAUGUAAAGCCUACCUUUCGGAGCUACAUUUUAAAGGCUUAUAAGACCACCCUGAAAGGUGCAAAGGAGACACGAACAAGCUCUUGUCAGUGGUGCCCAGUGCUAGGACAAGAGGUGACGGGUGCAAACUGGGGCACAGGAGGUUCCCCCUGUCCAUCAGGAGGCACUUCAGUGCUAUACAGGAGACAGAGCACUGGCACGGGGACACAGAGAGGGUCUCCUCUUUGGAGAUCUCCAAAAGCCACCUGGAUGUGGGCCUGGGCACCCUGCUCUGGGUUGUCCCGCUGGAGCAGGGAUGGGCCAGAUGACUCCAGAUACCUCUUCCAACCUCGGCCAUUCCAUGAUUCUGUGGCUAUAAGCAAGCAAAGGUCCCAAUCCACAAAAGAAUACAGUUUAAAAAGAUUCCUAACAUCAGCAAAGUCGAGACAAUAUGUAAUGUCCCAUAUGUUCAUGAUCCUAAGCCCCUUGCGCUAUCUUAGGUAAUGCUCUUUUAGUGUCAGAAAUGUCUCAUUUGCCAAUCACUAAGAAUACAUACAUAAGCCAUUAUUUCUGUUCAGUUGAUUCAUGGUCAUUUGUUAGAUUACAGUAAUAUGAUUGUGACGCUGAGUCCUAAGAAGUCAUUAUCUAAGGUAAUUAUAAAUUCUAAAGGAGCAAAAUACUUUCAGCACAUAGAGGGAAAGAACAGGUAGUUUAAUAUGAAGUUCUGCAGGUACCUUCAGAAUGUCUGACCUGAAAGAUGCCAGGUUUUAAUGAGGAAAGAGGAUAAGUGCUGAUAUUCUGUUCUUGUUAACUUGAAAAUUUUGAGAUACUUAAAAACUUUUUUUUAUCCAUAGUUUAUAGAAAAAUUAGCUCUUUCAAUUUGCUAACAAAGUUUUCACCAUGAUAUUAUAUAAUAUUGACUGUAGCAUGGUAAGACUUAAAAUGGGUAAAAAUCCAUUACUAUUUUUGCAGUUUUCUUUCUUACCAAACCACUUAUUCAGCAAACAAAUAGCAUAAGGUGAUACUAUUUUCAGGUAUUUUCCUGUCUCUGGGAUAACUGCUGAAGCUUACAUCUGUAAAUAUUAGCUUAAGCAACCUGUUAAAUAUAUUUCUGGUCCUCAAAGAAAUAACUGUAGUUAUAUUUAAGCAUUCCUACUUACGAACAUUUUCACGUAAGUAUCUUCUACCAUCAUUGGCUAAUAUCUCUGCCGACCAACUGUCAUGGAUGUGGCGCAGUUCAAAUCAUCUUGCAUUUCUGUGGGUUUACAUCAUCUUAAACCUGUAUUAAUUUGAAGGUACAUUUGGCACAAUGUGAGUUUUAUGGGCAUCACUUGUAGCAUCAGCAAUUAUUGAGAUUACUUGUUUCUUCUCAUUUCAAGCAUGUUGGUGCUGCCAGUGUUACAGUCAUAUGACUAGCGUGAGCCUGACAUGUCAGACACCUGUCUGAGCUUGAAAGAUUUUUGGAAAACUUCAUCCUAAGGAGUUCAGCUUUUUCCAACACUUUGACCAUGGAAAAAUCCCCAUCUUUUUCAUGUUAAACUCUGAAGUAACCUUUUUUUUUUUUUUUUU